rnacentral:rRNA from 1 species
CCUACGGGUGGCAGCAGUGAGGAAUAUUGGUCAAUGGACGCAAGUCUGAACCAGCCAUGCCGCGUGCAGGAAGACGGCUCUAUGAGUUGUAAACUGCUUUUGUACGAGGGUAAAUCCCGAUACGUGUAUCGGGUUGAAAUUAUCGUACGAGUAAGGAUCGGCAAACUCCGUUCCAGAAGCCGCGGUACUACGGGGGAUUCAAGCGUUAUCCGGAUUUAUUGGGUUUAAAGGGUGCGUAGGCGGUUCGAUAAGUUAGAGGUGAAAUCCCGGGGCUCAACCCCGUCGAGCCGUUGAAACUGGCAGACUUGAGUUGGCGAGAAGAACGCGGAAUGCGCGGUGUAGCGGUGAAAUGCAUAGAUAUCGCGCAGAACACCGAUUGCGAAGGCAGCGUACCGGCGCCAGACUGACGCUGAGGCACGAAAGCGUGGGGAUCGAACAGGAUUAGAUACCCCAGUAGUC